AUGUACAUGCCUAUAGUGUUAAUGAACCAGAUCCCAUCAGAACUUUGGAGUUAAGUGCACUUAGGCUAGAGUAGUACUGGGAUGGGAAACACGGGAAGUCUUAGUGUUUUACAUG
rnacentral:rRNA from 1 species